rnacentral:rRNA from 1 species
AUUGAACGCUAGCGGGAUGCUUUACACAUGCAAGUCGAACGAGUGGCGGACGGGUGAGUAAUAUAUCGGAAUGUGCCCAGUAGCGGGGGAUAACUACUCGAAAGUGUGGCUAACACCGCAUACUUGUGGAGCGGCCGAUAUCGGUAUAGCUAGUGGGUGGGGUAAAGGCUCACCAAGGCCACGAGCCGGAGCUGGUGUGAGAGGACGACCAGCCACACUGGAACUGAGACACGGCCCAGACUCCUACGGGAGGCAGCAGUGGGGAAUCUUGGGCAAUGGGCGAAAGUCUGACCGAGCAACGCCGCGUGUGUGAGAAGGUUUUCGGAUCGUAAAGCACUGUUGUUAGGGAGGCGGUAUCUACCGAGAAAGCACCGGCUAACUACGUGCCAGCAGCCGCGGUAAUUC